AUGGUCGUGGAUAAAGAGGUUGCAGCGGCAGCUAACGCGACCGAUGCGGGAUGCAGAGAGGAAGAUGGCCAUGGACGGCGAGGUUGCGGUGGCUGCCGGCCUUUUUCUUGGUGCAGUGGCAGCGGCCAUGGAUGGGGAGGGCGGAGGAUUGGAGGAUCUGGAAGAGGCCGACUGAGAUCCACUUCCUCCCAGGUGGAAGAAAAGUGGUCGUCUCGUGGGUGGAUCGAAGGAAACACAAGAAAGAGGGGAGGUUUCGCUGCCGUUGGAUACGGGAGGAUCGGACGGUGGCUGGCUGCGAUCCGUGGGAGGGUUGGAACUACCAAUCAGAACGCAGGAUUUGCCUCAUGCCAGGUACACUCCUCGUGA
rnacentral:rRNA from 1 species